CACUGCAACACUAGCGUAAACGAAACGGGUGGUUUGCGUGAAAAGCCGGCCGGUUAAUUAACGAUUCCUGUGUUUGUGUUACAGUGAUUCAAAACCAUCGUUGAUUGCUUUGGAAAGGCUACUCGAGCAUGAGACGAGAGCAGAAGAAGACAUCAGUGGGUGACAAUUAAAAAGUGAGAAUUCACGCGAAAAAGCAAAGAAAAUUGCAGAGUUAUGUUAUACUGGAUGAAAGAAAUUAAGAAUCCGUGUCAAUAUUGAUCGAAGGUUCCGUUCAGAGAUUUCAUUAACAGAUGUGAAAAAAUGUAAUUGUUAAUAUUAGAUGUAAGAAC